rnacentral:misc_RNA from 1 species
UUUCCGUAGGUGAACCUGCGGAAGGAUCAUUAUUGAAUGAAACACUUCUGGCUUUAUGCUGUUGUGCUGGCCCUUUGGGCAAUGUGCACACGGCUCUGGUCACUUGUUUCUUCUGUUCCACCUGUGCACUGCCUGUAGACACGCUGUGUCUAUGAUAUUUGUUAACACACAACAAUGUUAGUUGGCAUGUUAUAUAUAAUAAUAAAAUAUACAACUUUCAACAACAGAUCUCUUGGCUCUCGGAUCGAUGAAGAACGCAGC